AUUGAACGCUGGCGGCAGGCCUAACACAUGCAAGUCGAGCGGAGCGGCGGACGGGUGAGUAAUGCCUAGGAAUCUGCCUGGUAGUGGGGGAUAACGUCCGGAAACGGGCGCUAAUACCGCAUACUAUCAGAUGAGCCUAGGUCGGAUUAGCUCGUUGGUGGGGUAAAGGCCUACCAAGGCGACGAUCCGUAACUGGGCUGAGAGGAUGAUCAGUCACACUGGAACUAAAACACGGUCCAGACUCCUGCGGGAGGAAGCCAUUGGGAAUGUUGGACAAUGGGCGAAAGCCUGAACCACCCAUGCCGCGUGUGUGAAGAAGGUCUUCGGAUUGUAGAUCACUUUAAGUUGGGAGGCGUUACCCGCAGAAUAAGCACCGGCUAACUACGUGCCAGCAGCCGCGGUAAUUC
rnacentral:rRNA from 1 species